rnacentral:tRNA from 1 species
GCGGACAUAGUUUAAGCAAAACACUAGAUUGUGAUUCUAGAAAUGAGAGCUAACCCCCCUCUGUCCACC